AGGACGAACGCUGGCGGCGUGCUUAACACAUGCAAGUCACGGGGGCCCGCAAGGGCAACCGGCGAACGGGUGCGUAACACGUGAGCAAUCUGCCGAUCUCUGGGGGAUAGCCGGCCCAACGGCCGGGUAAUACCGCAUACGCUCAUCGGGGGAUUCCCCUGGUGAGGAAACCUCCGGGGGAGAUCGAGGAGCUCGCGACCUAUCAGCUAGUUGGCGGGGUAAUGGCCCACAAGGCAUCGACGGGUAGC
rnacentral:rRNA from 1 species